GCCUUCUGGGAUCCGAUUGUGAACAGAAUCUUUUUAGCCAGAGAUGCUCUGUUGGCUUUCAGAGGACAAAGAGACUAUGGGAUAGACCAUAUGUAUGUACUCUGUAACUAAGUCUGCCUUCAGGGAUCCAACUGUGAACUGAUGAUGAUAUGUAUAAUUUAUUGCUGGUAUGGCAUACGAAAGAUGAACAAGUGAAAUCUGUAAUGAUUGAAUGGCUAGGGAUGUG